UUUCCUACAUUUUGUUAUUCGAUUUAAAACAUAGCAGCAAUACUUUAAUGAAGAUUUUACGUUCCAUUUAUUAUAUCCAUGUACUAAAACUGAUAAAAGCGAUAAAAAUACCUAGGUAAAGAGAUAAAAUGCUUGAUUAGAAUAUUAUCCGAAAUAGAAAUGAAGGAUGAAUAUAAUAUUGAAAAUACUAUGUGCACUUGUGAUUUGUGAAACUGUGUCUAGUUUACUGACGUCUGUGGUGGAAAUAAGUCAAGGCAAGCUACGAGGAUCGAAGAAGCUUGUUCGGACAAAACCGGUAUUAUAACAUACAUACCUUAUGCAGUUGCUGCCAGAUUUUAGGCAAACAAACAAAGUCUCCCGAUAAAAUUAGGCAAUCGUGGUUCACGUGUGAGGGGGAGAGUGCGGGUGCCAGUUCCGCGGCAUUUCAUUUACUUUCAGAACUAAGUAGAGGAUUAUUCCAUAAAAUGAUUCUCAUUUGUGCUUGCAGAUUGAAUCGCUCGAUCACCAGUAUGGGCGUGCUGUGGCGUUGGGUUGCACUAUGCCCGCAAUUAGCGUUUCCUCUGGUCUUCUGCGUGGCACAGUCUCAACAGACGGUACGCAUCUUCGCUACAAUGGAAUUCCAUAGGCUAUGAUCAGGGAAAUGUUUCAGGUAAUUAUAACACAAAAUAAUUUGCGAAAAAUAUUAUUGCAUUGAAUAAAAGUAUUGCAAAUAUUUAAGAACAAAACAAUCAUGGAACAUUUAAGAACACGCGUACCCUGUGUUCAGACUUCACGCCUGCGAAAAUAUUACGCCAAAACACCAUCGCGGUAAUAUUGCCGACACCCGGCAUCAGGCGCUUGAAGAUUCUUCAUACAAAUCUGUCUACUCAUGUCACUUGACCUACGAUCAUUGUACAAUUCACAUCCUUUUUUGAAUUAUAUUAAUUUAUUGAG